CCUACGGGAGGCAGCAGUGAGGAAUAUUGGUCAAUGGUCGGGAGACUGAACCAGCCAAGCCGCGUGAGGGAUGAAGGUACAGAGUAUCGUAAACCUCUUUUGUCAGGGAACAAAGGCGGGGCCGUGUCCCCGGAUGAGUGUACCUGAAGAAACAGCAUCGGCUAACUCCGUGCCAGCAGCCGCGGUAAUACGGGGGAUGCGAGCGUUAUCCGGAUUUAUUGGGUUUACAGGGUGCGCAGGCGGUCUGUUAAGUCAGCGGUCAAAGCCCGGGGCACAACCCCGGCCCGCCGUUGAAACUGGCAGUCGCGAGUUGGAGAGAAGUAUGCGGAAUGAGCGGUGUAGCGGUGAAAUGCAUAGAUAUCGCGCAGAACUCCGAUUGCGAAGGCAGCAUGCCGGCUCCACACUGACGCUGAGGCACGAAAGCGUGGGUAUCGAACAGGAUUAGAUACCCCUGUAGUC
rnacentral:rRNA from 1 species